rnacentral:ncRNA from 1 species
UUGAAAAUUUAUGGUGGGGACACGCAAACUUCUCAACAGGCCGUACCAAUAUCCGCAGCUGGUCUCCAAGGUGAAGAGUCUCUAGUCGAUAGAAUAAUGUAGGUAAGGGAAGUCGGCAAAUUAGAUCCGUAACUUCGGGAUAAGGAUUGGCUCUGAAGAUUGAGAUAGUCGGGCUUGAUUGGGAAACAAUAACAUGGUUUAUGUUCUCGUUCUGGGUAAAUAGAGUUUCUAGCAUUUAUGUUAGUUACUUGUUCCCCGGAUAGUUUAGUUACGUAGCCAAUUGUGGAACUUUCUUGCUAAAAUUUUUAAGAAUACUAUUUGGGUUAAACCAAUUAGUUCUUAUCAAUUAUAACGAUUAUCAAUUAACAAUCAAUUCAGAACUGGCACGGACUUGGGGAAUCCGACUGUCUAAUUAAAACAAAGCAUUGUGAUGGCCCUAGCGGGUGUUGACACAAUGUGAUUUCUGCCCAGUGCUCUGAAUGUCAAAGUGAAGAAAUUCAAGUAAGCGCGGGUCAACGGCGGGAGUAACUAUGACUCUCUUAAGGUAGCCAAAUGCCUCGUCAUCUAAUUAGUUUUUUUUUUUUUUUUUUUUUUUUUUUUUAGCGUGCGU